rnacentral:rRNA from 1 species
UACGGAGGGUGCAAACGUUGCUCGGAAUCAUUGGGCGUAAAGCGCACGUAGGCGGCCUGUUAAGUCGGAUGUGAAAGCCCCGGGCUCAACCCGGGAAGUGCAUACGAAACUGGCGGGCUUGAAUAUGGAAGAGGGUCGCGGAAUUCCCGGUGUAGAGGUGAAAUUCGUAGAUAUCGGGUGGAACACCAGUGGCGAAGGCGGCGACCUGGGCCAAUAUUGACGCUGAGGUGCGAAAGCGUGGGGAGCAAACAGG